rnacentral:misc_RNA from 1 species
GAUGAAGAACGCAGCGAACUGCGAUAAGUAAUGUGAAUUGCAGAAUUCAGUGAAUCAUCGAGUCUUUGAACGCACAUUGCGCCCCCUGGCAUUCCGGGGGGCAUGCCUGUCCGAGCGUCAUUGCUGCCCUUCAAGCCCGGCUUGUGUGUUGGGUCGUCGUCCCCCCCGGGGGACGGGCCCGAAAGGCAGCGGCGGCACCGCGUCCGGUCCUCGAGCGUAUGGGGCUUUGUCACCCGCUCGAUUAGGGCCGGCCGGGCGCCAGCCGGCGUCUCCAACUUUCUAUUUUACCAGGUUGACCUCGGAUCAGGUAGGGAUACCCGCUGAACUUAAGCAUAUCAAUAAGCGGAGGA